GCUGGGUGUGGUGGUGCACACCUGUAAUCCUGGCUACUCAGGAGGCUGAGGCAGGAGAAUCACUUGAACCCAGGAGGCGGGGGUUGCAGUGAGCCAUUGCACCCCAGCCUUGGCGACAAAGCGAGACUCUGCCUCAU
ensembl:misc_RNA Metazoa_SRP Metazoan signal recognition particle RNA